CCUACGGGGGGCAGCAGUGGGGAAUAUUGGACAAUGGGGGGAACCCUGAUCCAGCCAUGCCGCGUGUGUGAAGAAGGCCUUAUGGUUGUAAAGCACUUUAAGCGAGGAGGAGGCUACUUUAGUUAAUACCUAGAGAUAGUGGACGUUACUCGCAGAAUAAGCACCGGCUAACUCUGUGCCAGCAGCCGCGGUAAUACAGAGGGUGCGAGCGUUAAUCGGAUUUACUGGGCGUAAAGCGUGCGUAGGCGGCUUAUUAAGUCGGAUGUGAAAUCCCCGAGCU
rnacentral:rRNA from 1 species